rnacentral:rRNA from 1 species
UACGGAGGGUGCAAGCGUUAUCCGGAUUUACUGGGUUUAAAGGGUGCGCAGGCGGAUAUGUAAGUCAGUGGUGAAAUCUCCGGGCUUAACCCGGAAACUGCCGUUGAUACUAUAUAUCUUGAAUGCUGUGGAGGUAAGCAGAAUAUGUCAUGUAGCGGUGAAAUGCUUAGAGAUGACAUAGAAUACCUAUUGCGAAGGCAGCUUACUACACAGUUAUUGACGCUGAGGCACGAAAGCGUGGGGAUCAAACAGG